AUUGAACGCUGGCGGCAGGCCUAACACAUGCAAGUCGAACGGUAACAGGAAACAGCUUGCUGUUUCGCUGACGAGUGGCGGACGGGUGAGUAAUGUCUGGGAAACUGCCUGAUGGAGGGGGAUAACUACUGGAAACGGUAGCUAAUACCGCAUAACGUCGCAAGACCAAAGAGGGGGACCUUCGGGCCUCUUGCCAUCGGAUGUGCCCAGAUGGGAUUAGCUAGUAGGUGGGGUAACGGCUCACCUAGGCGACGAUCCCUAGCUGGUCCGAGAGGAUGACCAGCCACACUGGAACUGAGACACGGUCCAGACUCCUACGGGAGGCAGCAGUGGGGAAUAUUGCACAAUGGGCGCAAGCCUGAUGCAGCCAUGCCGCGCGUAUGAAGAAGGCCUUCGGGUUGUAAAGUACUUUCAGCGGGGAUGAAGGGAGUAAAGUUAAUACCUUUGCUCAUUGACGUUACCCGCAGAAGAAGCACCGGCUAACUCCGUG
rnacentral:rRNA from 1 species